UAUUAUUUCUUUUAUUAUUAUUAUUAUUAUUAUUUGUAUUAUUAUUAGUAUUAUUAUUAUUAGUAGUAGUAUUAGUAUUGAAGUGAUGACCCCUCAAGUGGCUCAAUUGGUAGCUGCUGUCACAAGCUAACAGGGAGAGCUCAAGAAGAAAAGGAGGCACUUGCUGCCAUUGAGUUUGCAAUAGAGGUUAUUUGCUGCUUUGUAUUAGUUGGAAAAAGGAUUAUUUUGAAAGUGUUCUAAGUUUUGUGAACGGUAACAAAAUCAAGGGUAACGAAAUCAAGAUAUCAAGAGUAACUGCAUUGAAUGUGAUCUUGGUUUGUGUCCUUUUCUAUUCAGUAUAGUUGUAGUUUGGCAUCCUUUCCCAGUCUUUAUAUUUUUUUUUGGCAAAUAUUUGUAAAAUGCAUAUAUGACCUUGUUUAAAUGUCUGAUACUGAGUUUGAUUGUUAGGUGUUGUUCUUCUUGUGUUGAUUUAUUUUCAUUUUUUAAUUAGACAUGAGCCAACGGUAGAGCAUGUCAUGUAAAGGGCAGUGGCUUGGUAAUUGAUUCUGAGCUGUUAGUUUAUUGCUUUGGACCUUAAGUUCGCAAAAGACUAUGAUGCUGAUUUCGAAAAGUUUUAUGCUUUGAUAUAUGAAGAAAUUGGUUACAGUUUCCCCUUCUCAUUGAUUAGUCAACUCAGUUUCAUGAAAUUGUAGCAACAUAAUUUUAGAUGAACUUUUGUACAGCGUUCUUGUCAUUCAAGGCAUGUANUUCAAAAAGCUUAAUGCUAAGUGGGAAGUUUAAUGCUGAAUCACAUUUUACUCGUGAGUUGAUUUAAGGUUUCUACACACUUGCAGAAGCAGCUGGCCAGAGAAUAAAAGCUGAUAUGUUUGGAGUCAUUAGUUUGAGCAACAAAAGUAUCACAGUGUGGAGCUUGGAAUAGGNGAUUUGGUCCAAAGAACUGGCAGUUAGAAGCAGCUGUUUGAUUAGGGGAGUGCUUAGCCUAUUCACUUUUGUUUUGUCUUAGCUUGUAAUUGAUAGUAUUGUUGGAUGUCCUGCUGAAUAAGUUUUGAUUUAACUGUACAGUAUCAAUUUGGACAAUCAUUUAACAGCAAUUAGGUUCUUUUCACUA